AUGAGACUAAAUAUUGCCAUCUUCUUUGGGGCUCUCUUUGGUGCUCUGGGGGUUUUACUCUUUCUGGUGGCUUUUGGAUCAGAUUACUGGCUUCUCGCGACUGAAGUAGCAAAGUGUUCAGGUGAACAAAAUGUAGAAAACGUCACUUUCCACCAUGAAGGAUUCUUCUGGAGAUGUUGGUUUAAUGGGGUUGUGGAAGAGAAUGAUUCCAAUAUCUGGCAGUUCUGGUACACCAAUCAGCCCCUGUGGAAGAACUGCACCCACGCUUACCUGUCACCAUACCCCUUCCUGAGAGGCGAGCACAACUCCACCUCCUACGACUCUGCAGUCAUUUACCGUGGCUUCUGGGCAGUCCUGAUGCUUCUGGGGGUGGUCGCCGUAGUGACUGCAAGCUUUCUGAUCAUCUGCGCAGCACCCUUCACCAGCCACCUUCUCUACAAAGCCGGGGGAGGCGCCUACAUCGCCGCAGGCGUCCUGUUUUCCCUGGUGGUGAUGCUGUACGUCAUCUGGGUCCAGGCGGUGGCUGACAUGGAAAGCUACAGACACAUGAAAAUGAGAGACUGCUUGGAUUUCAGCCCCAUCGUGCUGUACGGCUGGUCGUUUUUCCUGGCCCCGGCGGGGAUUGUUUUCUCCCUGCUAGCGGGAUUACUGUUUCUGAUUGUUGGACGGCACAUUCAGAUACAUCACUAG
rnacentral:lncRNA from 1 species